UAGCAGUUAACUGGCCGAUAUUUGGAACAUUGAUUAUGUUUACUCUUUGAGAGCCCAAGUCAUAUUAAUUUACCCUAUAUCAAUGCUGAGCAUAGAACUUCAACUUUCCCUUAUGCUGCUUGAUGUUUGCUAAUGGGUCGCAGCAUGCAUAUUUUCAUCGUUGGUUGCUUCACUUCUGUAAUUGUUGAUGAAUUUGUGCAUGACUCUACCCCUACAUAACUAAUUCACACAUGUACAAAGCCUGGCAAUGAACUAUCCAGCAGAGAUCCAAGUGGUCACAUUCAAUAGCACUUUUGGAGUUUUGGUCUUGCCAAUAAAGAAUUUCUUUGGUUUCUUUUCUUUUGAAAUUGAACAAUACACAGCUGCGUUGCAUGCAGCAUGCUUGCUGAAAAUAUAUUCGUAUAACAGUUAAACCUCCUGCUCUUAAAGUUGUUUGCAUAGUUGAUAUACUGAAAAUUUUCUAAAUGGAAAAUGGUCACUUGAUCAUGGUUUUCAUUUUAAGUUUAUCUUGGCAAUAUUAUUUGAAUGUAGUUCAAAAACUUAAAUAGCCCAAUGGUUUGGCCUACUGCAAAUUGGCAGCUUUUUCCUGGUACGGGGUCAAAGGUGGAACCUUUCUAUUCAAGCACUGAGGUGGAAAGGAUUCAUGAACCAUGAUGCCAGAAUUAUCUUACGGCUGAUUCUUAACCUUUCUUUUCCUGUUACUGUAUGUUACAGAUGUUUUAAAUCCUUGCUUUUGAAGUAGAUGCAGCACGUAAGAAAGGUGAAGGCGUGAUGACCUUGGACCCCACUCAAAUAGGGACCAUCCAUAGCCUACAUGUAAUAGCAUGUUUGGGCUGCCCUGCAAUGUCUGAAUGCUUCUGGUACGUUUGGUAUUCAACCAAGAAGACUGUGUCAUCACUGUUUAAGCCAUCUUUGUUUUCAGGACAUCCUAUACCGUUAUUCUUCCAUUCUGAGUCGCUAAUCCGUAGGGGUAAGUACAUUGUUGCAUGCUUGAUUAAAAGAUAUUUUUUUCACCUUUGCGACGAUUGCAUGAUUGUGAUCCCUUCAUUUGCUGUACAUGAUUGCACUUUAGCUUUUCCCCUAUCACACUCGGUCAAUUGUUGUUUAGGAGUCUAAAUCAAUAUAGAAAUUCAUGUCCACACACUAUGCCACAUGCUGAAACAGUAAAGGAAAUCUAUUGCGCAGGGAUGGGGUAGAGCAACAGGUGCCUGGUGGCCAGAGAAUGAGCAAAUGAAACCAACACCCUGCCUUCUUAGAUAUCUAGGCUGGCAUGCAAAUGCUGAUGAUAUCCUUUCGACCGAAGGGGCCUACUCCUUUGGGAUCCUUAAGAUUCAAGUAUCCUUAACUGGUCACCCCAAUUAUAUGAAACGAAGAAAAGGAGAGGGAAAGAACACACAACACACACCCGGAGAACGAGGUAGGGCAGAAUGGUAGGACUCUCAUCUAAGGUUUGCCUUAAUGGCCCAAGAAUUGCCCACCACUGCUAAUGUGAGGUGGAGUUUGCUGGACCAUCAAUUGAGCCAGCCCAAUUAGGUCUCCACAUGCAUGAGUGGGUGAUCAUGUGUCAAGUUUAUGCAGGUUAGCAUGCACUUUGUCCGUCGGAAACGAUGUAUCAUUAGGCGAAGGAGGGGAAGGAGGUUGUCUAUAAAUAUGCAGUGCGAUGGAUAGGGGUUGGUUUGUGCUGAAAACAAGCUAGCUGGGAGCAUAGUGGAAGAAGAGAGAGGCCACCUCGUGAUGA